GAUGUUUCCUUUCAACGCUGAAAUGACGACACAGCUAGUAUAAAAGACCGCGAGCGGCCAUGUUUCUCUCUCUCCGGUUCAGCAGCACUCAGGAGCAGCGUUCACUGGUCACGUGACUUUCGUCAUGGCGUCAAGAAACGUUUAGGCCUGAAGUGAUUGUGAUUUACUAAAGUGAAGAUAUUUCUCAAGUUCCAGCAAUCUCUCUUGUCUUCGGUUUCCACAGGCAUUAGAGUAGUUGCUCUUUAGUAUAUUUACGGUUUGAUAAAUGACAUUUGGUGUUACAUGUGCAUAUAGAAGUUGAAGUUUGUCUUUAUAUUUAGUAAUUUAGAGGGCUGUAUAUUAGCACACUAUCCAAUUUUUGCUGUAAACGGGAUCAAGCAGCCUUGUGUGUUUUUAUGUAUUUUAUUACUGCAUAACCAUUCCAAUAAACGAUUAUUCUUUUAA